UUCAGGUCCACGUUAGAGUUACUCUUUCGUUGCAUUAGGUCUUCACUUCGACGGAGGCGGUCACGCUUCCCUUUCAUCUUCCCAAUCACGUUAGGCUCACCUGAAAUGUCAAUCAAUAACGUUAUCUCAUUACACUACUACAUCGUCUCCAAUUCUUCUUUAAUUUCUCAUUUAGUCUUGCGGAUGCAUAUAUAUACAAACCAAAACAGAGACGAAAUCCUAUUCAUUUCGACCGUGGCGUCUUCUCAAGUUCAUUUCUUGGAGCGUAAGGCCAGCCGUUGCAAGCAGAUGGUUCACACCAAACUCCUGCGAUUUUAGGAAAACCGGAAUGUCAAGAAAGAUGGGGAGAUGAUGGGAGUUGACAUGUUCCUUAUAGAUGUGAAGGCAACGCUCAUUCAGUCCUCAAUCAAUUAUCAUAGACUUAACACAUUCAAACACCUUUUGAAUGAAUGCUCACUUUAUGAGCUCAUUGUUUUGUGAUGCUCUUGUCGCUGUUAGAUUCACUGAAUAAACAUGAGGAACACAUUCUCUCGAAAGUCCAGACUUCAUGGCCACCUCUCACCAGGUACUAUCUCCUUGAUGAACAUGUACCUUUAUAUUAAACUUCCACACACAAAAUCAGUCUCUUCUCUUUGUGAGAAAACGUUCUGGUAUAAAACCAAGACAUCUUCUCUAAAUCAACAAAUCGAUUUGCUGUCAUUCAAAAACGCCACGGCCUCUUUAUUUCUUUUAUUACUAUUUACAAAAUGUUCUCUUUUGAUUUUUGUUUUCCUGCUACUUCCAUUCUACCGCCGCUACUCUGACCAAUGUGGAUGUUCCAUCUCUAUCUCUAUAUAUUUGUCACUUUAUGAUGAUGAUCUGAUAAUGGUUUCUCUUGCUUGUUUACAUGCUACCUCUUACUGGUUUACCGGCACCGAAGAAAGAAAAAGUCCCACUACCAUUGGAUAAAUAGUUAUAAUCUUUAUUAUCAGUUACUGUUUUUCUUCGGCGGGUUUGAAUAUCAAUUAUCAGUUAUUAGUAAUGUUUUGUAGCCUAACGUUUUCAACUUUUCCCUCGCGAAGCUUAUAUGGUGUGCUUAGUUUAAAAAAAAAACAAAACACUGGAUUGGUAUUAACUCGAUGGGUUUCAGUAACAUAUUAUUAUCUUUGCAUCAUUCUAGCUUGUGACUAAAUGAUAUUACUUUCAAUUCGUUGGCACACAGAUGUUGUAGUAGGAAAUUAAUAAGCGUUUGGUCUCGUGCGUUUUCAUUCAAAAGAGUACCAUGAUUAGCUACUCCGUUGUGUCGUGGGCGUGUACGGCAUGGUCAAACGGCUUAAAUAUCCCAUGGUAAAGACAUUGCUACUCUCUAUCUGUUUAGAUGUGACAUGGUAGCGAAUUGGGUGGAGCAUGCAGGAAGCUCAAGUGGCAGGGUGUCAUUCUACAUCUUCAGCAGACACGUAUCUAGGGAGGAAGAGGAAGCGAGAGAACGAAGGGAAAUGGGGUGUAGACCUGCUAAGCAAGAAACUUCAAGGAAUGGGUAUGAUUUGGACCUGAUUAGGUUUAUAGAGUCGCAACUGCAGUAUGAAAUCUUUUAGUGUUUGAGAUACUAAAUACGUAGAACAAACAUGAGUUUUGUUUUGUACUGAAAGAAGAGUUGUUUGUUUGUUAGUUUCCUUUACUUUUCGGUUUGCUAUGUUGACCGACUUUCGUUUGGUUCAUUAUUUGUCUUAUGUUACUUUUUGUUUUAAA